rnacentral:rRNA from 1 species
GACGAACCGUGCGAACGUUGUUCGGAAUCACUGGGCUUAAAGGGCGCGUAGGCGGGCAUCAUAGUCAGGGGUGAAAUCCUCCAGCUCAACUGGAGAAGUGCCUCUGAUACUGGGUGCCUCGAGGGGUGCAGGGGCGUGCGGAACUUCCGGUGGAGCGGUGAAAUGCGUAGAUAUCGGAAGGAACACCGGUGGCGAAGGCGGCACGCUGGACACCCUUCUGACGCUGAGGCGCGGAAAGCCAGGGGAGCAAACAGG